rnacentral:rRNA from 1 species
AGAGUUUGAUCAUGGCUCAGGACGAACGCUGGCGGCGUGCUUAACACAUGCAAGUCAAGGAGAACAUUUUCUUCGGAAAAUAAGUAAACUGGCGAACGGGUGAGUAACACGUGGGUAACCUACCCUGUAGACUGGGAUAACCCCGAGAAAUCGGAGCUAAUACCAGAUAAUGCAGCGAGUCUUUCGGGACAUAGUUGUUAAAGCGGCCUUCGGGUCGCACUUUAGGAUGGGCCUGCGUCCGAUUAGUUAGUUGGUAAGGUAAUGGCUUACCAAGGCGAUGAUCGGUAGCUGGUUUGAGAGGAUGAUCAGCCACACUGGGAUUGAGAUACGGCCCAGACUCCUACGGGAGGCAGCAGUGGGGAAUUUUGCGCAAUGGGCGAAAGCCUGACGCAGCAACGCCGCGUGAUCGAUGAAGCUUUUCGGAGUGUAAAGAUCUGUCAUGAGGGAAGAACUAUCCUGAUGUAAAUAAUAUCAGGAUUUGACGGUACCUCAUAAGAAAGCACCGGCUAACUUAGUGCCAGCAGCCGCGGUAAUACUAGGGGUGCAAGCGUUGUCCGGAAUUACUGGGNCGUAAGGGGUGCGUAGGCGUCUACGUAAGUUGUUUGUUAAAUCCAUCGGCUUACCCGAUGAUCUGCAAACAAAACUGCAUAGAUAGAGUUUGGAAGAGNAAGUGGAAUUCCUGG